AGAAUCGCUUCACUGAGUAUUCAUACUCACCCCUCUUUUCCCUCUCCCUUUUGCAGAACUAUAAGUGGAAAUGUCAAUGGUAAGAAAGGAAACGCACCUGAAACUUAUGGGACCAGAAACGGGACACACGGAGAUGUUGGGAAAGUAGACAUGUGUGUCCUCAACCCCGCGCCCAGGAACCCCGGUUGGAAAUGGGCAAGGGGCGGGUGUUUCAAUUGGUAUCAGAGCCAGGUUAAGGUCCCUUAAUACUAACUUAAGGGAUCAGCGUCUCCGCUAUUGCCGAUUUCCCCUUAUGGUUCUGAUAGACCGUCGUAGUGAUUGUUGAAGGGGAAUACUAACAGCUCGGAGUCUCUGGCCAAGAUCGGGUCAACAAAAAGUUCUCGUAACGUGGUGUGGUGGAGUUUCAGAGGUUCAGGAAAUGAUAACAAGGAGUUGUAAGACAAGUAUACAGAGGGAUCAGUCGCCUAGCACAACAAGCUAAGGAGGAAUGGAAGGACGGACAUACGAGCUUGAGGUGAAACGUUCGUCGGCGACACCACCCCACGCCGAGCCGGGAAGGCUGGGGGAGGAGGGUCGGACGCAAGGCCGAGGUAUGCGCAGCUUCACGGAGGAGUUAAAACCUGCAAGAAAUAGCCUUCUGACAUUCUGAUAUUACAGUUAAACUCGUUCCCGUAUAUUAAAAAAAAAAGAACAAAAAAGUGGAGACAUGGACGUGGGCCCCACCACCUCGGCGUGGGCCGACCGGCAAGGAAGGAGCAAAACCGGGAAGGCCAAGGGGCGGCCGGAUGGACAGAAGAAGGGAAACCGAUUUCAGAUUGUGAGGAUCAAGCUAAGGAUCAUCUUGGGGUAAAAAGGAUGAUGGAGGAUCACUGUGGAACAAAAUACGAAAUGCUAAAAAGGAUAUGGUAUCUUCAUAGGGUAAAAGGCUGACGGUAAUAAGGAUCAUCAUAGGGUAAAAAGGAUCAUCUUGGGGCAAAAAGGGAUGAUAAGAACCACACCGGGGAUAUUAUUCAUGGAAUGUUAAAGCAGCACUAGUAUUGAGAAAUGAUUGAAAACUUCCAUCUAUGCAUGACUACUAUUAUGUUCUGAUCAGAUCUUGUUUUUACGCUGCAGGAUGUCUUCACCAGUGCAUAAGGAGCUCGGAGAAAGUCGCAUGCGCUAUGGACCAAAAGGGACAAGGGCGUACGCCCGCAAGCCCUACUGUGACGCUUGGGGUGAUAUGGUACCUGCAC
rnacentral:lncRNA from 1 species